GACGAACGCUGGCGGCGUGCUUAACACAUGCAAGUCGAACGAAGAGCGAUGGAAGCUUGCUUCUAUCAAUCUUAGUGGCGAACGGGUGAGUAACGCGUAAUCAACCUGCCCUUCAGAGGGGGACAACAGUUGGAAACGACUGCUAAUACCGCAUACGAUCUAACCUCGGCAUCGAGGAUAGAUGAAAGGUGGCCUCUACAUGUAAGCUAUCACUGAAGGAGGGGAUUGCGUCUGAUUAGCUAGUUGGAGGGGUAACGGCCCACCAAGGCGAUGAUCAGUAGCCGGUCUGAGAGGAUGAACGGCCACAUUGGGACUGAGACACGGCCCAGACUCCUACGGGAGGCAGCAGUGGGGAAUCUUCCGCAAUGGACGAAAGUCUGACGGAGCAACGCCGCGUGAGUGAUGACGGCCUUCGGGUUGUAAAGCUCUGUUAAUCGGGACGAAAGGCCUUCUUGCGAAUAGUUAGAAGGAUUGACGGUACCG
rnacentral:rRNA from 1 species